CAAAUUUGAUUCUGGCCCUUUCAGGUCCGAGUUGUAAUUUGCAGAGGAUGCUUCGGGUGCGGCCCCGGCCUAAGUUCCUUGGAACAGGACGUCAUAGAGGGUGAGAAUCCCGUCUUUGGUCGUCGGCCCGCGCCCGUGUGAAGCUCCUUCGAAGAGUCGAGUUGUUUGGGAAUGCAGCUCUAAGCGGGUGGUAAAUUUCAUCUAAAGCUAAAUAUUGGCCGGAGACCGAUAGCGCACAAGUAGAGUGAUCGAAAGGUUAAAAGCACCUUGAAAAGGGAGUUAAACAGCACGUGAAAUUGUUGAAAGGGAAGCGCUUGCGGCCAGACUCGGUUGCGGGGUUCAGCGGGCGCGUGUCGCCCGUGCACUCCCCGUCUACCGGGCCAGCAUCAGUUUCGACGGCCGGUCAAAGGCCUCUGGAAUGUGUCGUCUCUCGGGACGUCUUAUAGCCAGGGGUGCAAUGCGGCCUGUUGGGACUGAGGAACGCGCUUCGGCUCGGAUGCUGGCAUAAUGGCCGUAAGCGGCCCGUCUUGAAACACGGACCAAGGAGUCUAACAUCCACGCGAGUGUUCGGGUGUCAAACCCGUGCGCGCAGUGAAAGCGAACGGAGGUGGGAGCCUUAGGGCGCACCAUCGACCGAUCCUGAAGUCUUCGGAUGGAUUUGAGUAGGAGCGUGGCCGUUGGGACCCGAAAGAUGGUGAACUAUGCCUGAAUAGGGUGAAGCCAGAGGAAACUCUGGUGGAGGCUCGCAGCGGUUCUGACGUGCAAAUCGAUCGUCAAAUUU
rnacentral:rRNA from 1 species